rnacentral:rRNA from 1 species
GACGAACGCUGGCGGCGUGCCUAACACAUGCAAGUCGAGCGGAGAUAAGCGGAAGGUAACUGAAGCUUAUCUUAGCGGCGGACGGGUGAGUAACACGUGGGCAACCUGCCUUGAAGUGGGGGAUAACACCGGGAAAUCGGUGCUAAUACCGCAUAACAUACACAAACUGCAUGGUAAGUGUAUCAAAGGAGCAAUCCGCUUUAAGAUGGGCCCGCGGCUGAUUAGCUAGUUGGUAAGGUAACGGCUUACCAAGGCGACGAUCAGUAGCCGACCUGAGAGGGUGACCGGCCACACUGGAACUGAGACACGGUCCAGACUCCUACGGGAGGCAGCAGUGGGGAAUAUUGCGCAAUGGGCGAAAGCCUGAUGCAGCGACGCCGCGUGAGCGAAGAAGGCCUCGGUUGUAAGCUCUGUCUGGAGGGACGGAACGAAAAUAGACGGUAACCGUCCCGGACGGAAGCCGACCGGCUAACUAACGUGCCAGCAGCCGCGGUAAACGUACGUACU